rnacentral:rRNA from 1 species
UACGUAGGGUGCAGGCGUUAAUCGGAAUUACUGGGCGUAAAGCGUGCGCAGGCGGUUAUGCAAGACAGAUGUGAAAUCCCCGGGCUCAACCUGGGAACUGCAUUUGUGACUGCAUGGCUAGAGUACGGUAGAGGGGGAUGGAAUUCCGCGUGUAGCAGUGAAAUGCGUAGAUAUGUGGAGGAACACCGAUGGCGAAGGCAGCCCCCCUGGGUUAACACUGACGCUCAUGCACGAAAGCGUGGGGAGCAAACAGG